ensembl:snoRNA
ACUGAGGUCUAUCCCGAUAGGGCCUUGCUGUAGGUUCUUGUCGUUGGAAACGCCUCAUAGAGCAAGCUUGUAGUUUUACUUGGCCCACUGAAUCCUAUGUUAGUUCAGUGGUAUAAAACUGCAGUACAAUA